ensembl:lncRNA
CCUGUAAAGGCAAGCAGCAGUGUGAGGAGGCAGAUGAGGCCACACACACAGGGCAGGAUGAUGAUGAGGAGCUUCAGGAGCUUCGUUGAGCUGAGUUUAUGUGAACAUGUGUCCUCCAUCACAUGCACAUCAACACCUGAUACCUUUAAAACACACACACACACACACACACACACACACACACACACACACAUCAUACCACACACUAAGCCAGGAUACACACUGCAAUGUUUGGUUACAAAAACGGACAAUUACAAAAGCUGUAGGGAGAUAACACCCUCAACACCACCAAUAACACCGUCAACACCACCGAUAGCACCUUCAACACCAACACCACCAAUAACACCGUCAACACCACCGAUAACACCGUCAACACCACCGAUAACACAGUCAACACCACCGAUAACACCAUCAACACCACCGAUAACACCGUCAACACCACCGAUAACACCGUCAACACCACCGAUAACACAGUCAACACCACCGAUAACACAGUCAACACCACCGAUAACACCGUCAACACCACCGAUAAACACCGUCAACACCACCGAUAACACAGUCAACACCACCGAUAACACCAUCAACACCACCGAUAAACACCGUCAACACCACCAAUAACACCGUCAACACCACCGAUAACACAGUCAACACCACCGAUAACACAGUCAACACCACCGAUAACACCGUCAACACCAACGCCACCGAUAACACAGUCAACACACACCGAUAACACAGUCAACACCAACACCACCGAUAACACCCUCAACACCACCGAUAACACCGUCAACACCACCGAUAACACCGUCAACACCAACACCACCGAUAACACCGUCAACACCACCAAUAUCACCCUCAACACCACCGAUAACAGUCAACACCACCGAUAACACAGUCAACACCACCGAUAACACCGUCAACACCACCGAUAACACCGUCAACACCACCGAUAACACCUCAACACCACCGAUAACACAGUCAACACCACCGAUAACACCGUCAACACCAACAUAUUCCACGUGUAGAUUACAAAUAAACAACAACAUUUAAUCAGUAAAAUACAGCCUUAACACUUCCUUAAAUCCACAU